UUUGUACACAUAUCAAAUUUUUUAAACUUGUCAGAUUUUAAUACAAAUAGCCAUUUAAUUAUUGCCUACCGCAAAAAAAAUAAAAGAAAAAAAUAACAUAAUAAUAAUCAUCUUACAUCGAUCCAAUUUAUAUUUGCUAAUACCACAACAAACACGACAUUUUUUUAACAUUGUAUUUGAUUAUUCACAUAUAUAAAUUAAUAUUAAAAAGCAAAAACUAUUAUAACUUAUAAAACUUAAAAUCAUGAAGAUUUUUUAUUUUUUUUAAUUUUCUAAAAAAUAAGGCUUAGUUCAUACUAAACAUAAUUUGUUAAAACAAUUAUAAAAAAAAAAAAAGCUUUAAUGGUAGAAACAGGCUUCGAGUGCUUCUCUAAUUAUAUAUAACAAUUUUUUUUGCAAGUUUUUCUUUAGUUUAUACUAUUUUUUUACAUUGAAAGUACAUUUUUUUUUUUUACAAAACCUUUUACGUCAUCAUUUCUAGCAUUAAAAAUAUAUUUGUUCCAUUGUUUAUUGAUAAAAUUAUAAAACUAUACAAUUUGUGUUAUUAAAAUUAUUUAAAUUAAAAUAUAAUUAAAAAAACAUGAUACAGUUGAUAAAAUAAAUUAGUAAUAGCAUAAAUCAUUACCACAUCACAAUUUAUAAUAAAAAAAUGUUUACCAUAAAUUAUAAAAUAAUUAUUAUUCCAUUAUUUAUAUGGGCAUGGACUAAUAACAACAGGGCCUACUUAAAAAACAUAUGGAACACUGAGCAUAAUAGAUCUUUGGCUCAACAUUGUACCUCUACAAGCGGACUUAAAAAACAUCAACAUUUAAAAAAACAUGAUGACAUAUACGAUUUUUCUAAACAUUUUGAACAAUGUAUUAUUAGAGAUCGAGAUCAAGAUCAAGAUCCAGAAAAGGAUGCUCUUAAAAUUGAUGAACAUUGUCCAAAUAAAUUAGUUCUUUUAAAUGAUAUUAAAAAAGAGUUAAUUAAAAUAUUAAAUAGACGACAGGAUCAUCUAUUAAAGGAUAUACUAAAAAAAAAAAAAAAAAUACACGAUAAGAAUGUACUACAAAUAUAUGACCAUAUUAAACAUGCCAUUUCAAGUGAAGAAUAUUUACAAAUUAUAAAUGAAAGUCGUGAAUCAUUAAAAAGUAAAAGUUUUGACUAUAAUGACAUUUCUGAAACAUAUUACAACAAUAUAUUACAUUUAUUGAAUACAUAUUUCUAUCUUACAAACAGUAAAAAAGAUUUUAAAAAACGCUUUAUGCAAUUACAACAAGAUGCUCACGACGAACCAAUAUUUAAAACUAAAAGUUUCAAAGCGAAAUAUUUAAAUAUAUUUAAACUCACUAAAAAAAUAGAUAAAGAAAUGAAAACUAUGUUAUUUAAGCAAAUACUAAAGGAAAAAAACUGAUACAAAUAAAAAAAAUUCUUUUAAAAUUAAUGUUAAGAUU
rnacentral:lncRNA from 1 species